rnacentral:miRNA from 1 species
AGCCCAAAAAAGGAGCUGAAAAAGGCCUGCCUGAAAAACCAAAAUGACUAGAAUACUAACUAACUCAUAGAAUCAUACUGACUACCUAUGUGCUACCCAAAAAGUGAAAAUAAAUAAAUAAAAAGAAAAGCGCUCGACGCGCGUUUCGGCGUGAAUACACGCCGUCGUGUAUUCACGCCGAAACGCGCGUCGAGCGCUUUUCUUUUUAUUUAUUUAUUUUCACUUUUUGGGUAGCACAUAGGUAGUCAGUAUGAUUCUAUGAGUUAGUUAGUAUUCUAGUCAUUUUGGUUUUUCAGGCAGGCCUUUUUCAGCUCCUUUUUUGGGCUUC